rnacentral:rRNA from 1 species
ACUCCUGCGGGAGGCAGCAGUGGGGAAUUUUGGACAAUGGGGGCAACCCUGAUCCAGCAAUGCCGCGUGAGUGAAGAAGGCCUUCGGGUUGUAAAGCUCUUUUGUCAGGGAAGAAACGGUAGUAGCGAAUAACUAUUACUAAUGACGGUACCUGAAGAAUAAGCACCGGCUAACUACGUGCCAGCAGCCGCGGUAAUACGUAGGGUGCAAGCGUUAAUCGGAAUUACUGGGCGUAAAGCGUGCGCAGGCGGUUGUGUAAGUCAGAUGUGAAAUCCCCGGGCUCAACCUGGGAAUUGCAUUUGAGACUGCACGGCUAGAGUGUGUCAGAGGGGGGUAGAAUUCCACGUGUAGCAGUGAAAUGCGUAGAUAUGUGGAGGAAUACCGAUGGCGAAGGCAGCCCCCUGGGAUAACACUGACGCUCAUGCACGAAAGCGUGGGGAGCAAACAGGAUUAGAAACCCGGGUAGUCCCAUGA